UACAGAGGGUGCAAGCGUUGUUCGGAAUUACUGGGCGUAAAGGGCGCGUAGGCGGUUUAGUAAGUCAGAUGUGAAAGCCCGGAGCUUAACUCCGGAAGUGCGUUUGAAACUACUAGGCUAGAGUGCAGUAGAGGUUGGUGGAAUUCCCAGUGGAGAGGUGAAAUUCGUAGAUAUUGGGAGGAACACCGGUGGCGAAGGCGGCCAACUGGGCUGUAACUGACGCUGAGGCGCGAAAGCGUGGGUAGCAAACAGGAUUAGAUACCCUGGUAGUCCACGCUGUAAACGAUGGAUACUCGCUGUAGCUGGUAUUGACCCCGGCUGUAGCCAAGUUAACACGUUAAGUAUCCCGCCUGGGAAGUACGGUCGCAAGAUUAAA
rnacentral:rRNA from 1 species